UUAAUAAGUCAGGGGUGCUUUGAUUUUCAAGGCUGAGAUUAUACCCUUCUAACCUGUUCGAUAAUGCGAGCGUAGGAAGACGGAAGAUUAUAUAC
rnacentral:ncRNA from 2 species